UGGGGAAUCUUGCACAAUGGGGGCAACCCUGAUGCAGCGACGCCGCGUGAGCGAUGAAGCCCUUCGGGGCGUAAAGCUCUUUCGACCGGAACGAUAAUGACGGUACCGGGAGAAGAAGCUGCGGCUAACUACGUGCCAGCAGCCGCGGUAAUACGUAGGCAGCAAGCGUUGUUCGGAGUUACUGGGCGUAAAGAGUGCGUAGGCGGUUUUCUAAGUUCGGUGUGAAAUCUCCCGGCUUAACUGGGAGGGUGCGCCGAAGACUGGGAAGCUGGAGUGUGGGAAAGGCAGGCGGAAUUCCUGGUGUAGCGGUGAAAUGCGUAGAUAUCAGGAGGAACACCGGCGGUGUAGACGGCUUGCUAGACCAUAACUGACGCUGAGGCAGGAAAGCGUGGGUAGCAAACA
rnacentral:rRNA from 1 species